GUCUACGGCCAUGCUGCCCUGAACAAGCCUGAUGUCUGAUCUCGUGAAGCUAAGCAGGGUCGGGCCUGGUUAGUACUUGGAUGGGAGACCAUCUAGGGAGACCACCUAGGAAGACUAAGUGCUAUAGGCA
rnacentral:rRNA from 1 species